rnacentral:rRNA from 1 species
UACGUAGGGGCAAGCGUUGUCCGGAAUCAUUGGGCGUAAAGAGCGCGUAGGCGGCCCAGUAAGUCCGCUCUGAAAGUCAGGGGCUCAACCCCUGAAUGCGGGUGGAUACUGCUGGGCUAGAGUCCGGAAGAGGCGAGUGGAAUUCCUGGUGUAGCGGUGAAAUGCGCAGAUAUCAGGAGGAACACCAUGGCGAAGGCAGCUCGCUGGACGGUGACUGACGCUGAGGCGCGACAGCGUGGGGAGCAAACAGG